rnacentral:lncRNA from 1 species
UUUGUUUCUUUUCUUUUCUUUUUGAGUUAUUAAACACAAUAUUUUGAUAUUUUACGCGGAUUUGUUUGUUAAUAUUCUCAAAAGUCCUAACAGUUUGUUUUGUAGAGAUUCUUGUGUUUUAUUGUAGGGUAGCAUUGCAGGGUUGGCAUGUUUAUUGUUGUUUUUGUACGAUUUGAUUAUUUGAUAUAUGAGUUUAUAUGCAAAUCAUGUAAAUUUUGUUUGAUAUAAGAUUUCUGGUCAUCUGUU